UACGAAGGGUGCAAACGUUGCUCGGAAUUAUUGGGCGUAAAGCGCACGUAGGCGGCCUAUCAAGUCGGAUGUGAAAUCCCUCGGCUCAACCAAGGAAGUGCAUCCGAAACUGGCAGGCUUGAGUACUUAAGAGGAUCGCGGAAUUCCCGGUGUAGAGGUGAAAUUCGUAGAUAUCGGGAGGAACACCAGUGGCGAAGGCGGCUUCCUGGCCUGUUCUUGACGCUGAGGCGCGAAAGCUAGGGGAGCAAACGGG
rnacentral:rRNA from 1 species